GAUGAACGCUGGCGGCGUGCCUAAUACAUGCAAGCCGAGCGAACGGACGAGAAGCUUGCUUCUCUGAUGUUAGCGGCGGACGGGUGAGUAACACGUGGAUAACCUACCUAUAAGACUGGGAUAACUUCGGGAAACCGGAGCUAAUACCGGAUAAUAUUUUGAACCGCAUGGUUCAAAAGUGAAAGACGGUCUUGCUGUCACUUAUAGAUGGAUCCGCGCUGCAUUAGCUAGUUGGUAAGGUAACGGCUUACCAAGGCAACGAUGCAUAGCCGACCUGAGAGGGUGAUAGGCGACACUGGAACUGGACCAGGGUCAAGAGGCCUACGAGAGGCAGCAGUAGGGUAUCUGCGGCAAUGGGCGAGAGCCUGACGGAGCGACGCCGCGUGAGUGAUGAAGGUCUUCGGAUCGUAAUACUCUGUUAUUAGUGAAGAACAUAUGUGUAAGUAACUGUGCACAUCUUGACGGUAACUAGUCAGAAAGCAACGGCUAACUACGUG
rnacentral:rRNA from 1 species